GCCAGGCAUGGUGGUGCACGCCUGUGGUCCCAGCUACUCAGGAGGCUGAGGUGGGAGGAUCGCUUGAGCCCAGGAGGUCAAGGCUACAGGAGCUGUGAUCACACCACUCCACUCCAGCCUGGGUAACAGAGUGAGACCCCAUCUCUU
ensembl:misc_RNA Metazoa_SRP Metazoan signal recognition particle RNA